GUUUAUUUGAUAGUACCUAUCCUACAUGGAUAACAGUGGUAAUUCUAGAGCUAAUACAUGCUAAAAGCCCCGACUUCGGAAGGGGCGUAUUUAUCAGAAUCAGAACCAAUGCCCUUCGGGGCUCCCUGGUGGCUCAUGAUAACUCCACAGAUCGCAUGGCCUUGCGCCGGCGAUGGCUCAUUCAAAUUUCUUCCCUAUCAACUUUCGACGGUACGGUCUUGGCCUACCGUGGUUGCAACGGGUGACGGAGGGUUAGGGCUCGACCCCGGAGAGGGAGCCUGAGAAACGGCUACCACAUCCAAGGAAGGCAGCAGGCGCGCAAAUUAUCCAAUCCCGACUCGGGGAGAUAGUGACAAUAAAUACCGAUACAGGGCUCUUUUGGGCCCCGUAAUUGGAAUGAGUACAAUUUAAACCUCUUAACGAGGAACAAUUGGAGGGCAAGUCUGGUGCCAGCAGCCGCGGUAAUUCCAGCUCCAAUAGCGUAUAUUAAAGUUGUUGUGGUUAAAAAGCUCGUAGUCGAACCUCGAGCCCGGCCGGCCGGUCCGCCUCACCGCGUGCACUGGUCUGGCCGAGCUCUUCCCUCUGCGGAACCUCAUGUCCUUAACUGGGCGUGCUGGGGAGGCAGGACUUUUACUUUGAAAAAAUUAGAGUGCUCAAGGCAGGCCAAUGCUCGGAUACAUUAGCAUGGAAUAAUAGAAUAGGACGUUGGUUCUAUUUUGUUGGUUUCUAGGACCGCCGUAAUGAUCAAUAGGGACGGUCGGGGGCAUCAGUAUUCAGCCGCGAGAGGUGAAAUUCUUAGACCGGCUGAAGACUAACUACUGCGAAAGCAUUUGCCAAGGACGUUUUCGCUGAUCAGGAACGAAAGUUAGGGGAUCGAAGACGAUCAGAUACCGUCGUAGUCUUAACCAUAAACGGUGCCGACUUGGGAUCGGGCGCUGUUCUCUCUAGACGCGCUCGGCACCAUUCGAGAAAUCAAAGUGCGUGGGCUCCAGGGGGAGUAUGGCGGCAACGCUGAAACUUAAAGAAAUUGACGGAAGGGCACCACCAGGGGUGGAACCUGCGGCUUAAUUUGACUCAACACGGGGAAACUCACCAGGUCCGGACACAAUGAGGAUUGACAGAUUGAGAGCUCUUUCUUGAUUUUGUGGGUGGUGGUGCAUGGCCGUUCUUAGUUGGUGGGGUGACUUGUCUGCCUAAUCGCGAUAACGAACGAGACCUUGACUGCUAAAUAGCACGCGCCGCCUCGGCGGUGUCGCGGCUUCUUAGUGGGACUAUCGGCUCAAGCCGAUGGAAGUUCGAGGCAAUAACAGGUCUGUGAUGCCCUUAGAUGUCCUGGGCCGCACGCGCGUGACACUGACAGAGCCAGCGAGUUCUUCCCUUGGCCGGAAGGCCCGGGUAAUCUUGUGAAACUCCGUCGUGAUGGGGAUAGAGCAUUGCAAUUGUUGCUCUUCAACGAGGAAUCCCUAGUAAGCGCAAGUCAUCAGCUUGCGUUGAUUACGUCCCUGCCCUUUGUACACACCGCCCGUCGCUACUACCGAUUGAAUGGCUCAGUGAGGUUUUCGGACUGGCCCAGGAAGGCGGGAGACUGCUAUCCAGGGCCGGAAAGUUGCCCAAACUCGGUCAUUUAGAGGAAGUAAA
rnacentral:rRNA from 1 species